rnacentral:lncRNA from 10 species
GCCACUGCACCCCAGCCUGGGUGACAGAGCAAGACUGUCUCAAAAAUAAAUAAAUAAAUAAAUAAAUAAAUAAAAUAAAGUGUUUCUUUUAAACUGGUAUUGCCUAAGGUGUAUUCUUUAUAAAACUUAGAAUUGUUAAAUAUUUUAAGAUUCCUUUGAAAGUGUUUUUGCAUUGAUGGUUUAAAUCAGUGAUAUCAAACUUUCCUGAUCCUAUGUGCCCAGAAAAAUGGGCAGGGGAAAGGAGGCAGCAUGGAACCUCAUUUUUUUGUGUGUAUCUGUGUGUACACGUGAGUGCACAUGUGUAUAUGUGUGGGGCCACAUGUGUUUUGUAUACGGUAUAUGCAUGAAAAUGUACCUUUGUACCUUAUACACAAAAACAAAUUAAACAAUGGCAUAAGCAGCAAUAUAAAUAAAAAAUGCUAAUACUUUCCUGC